CAGCAGCCACGGGAAUACGAAGGGGGCUAGCGUUGUUCGGAAUUACUGGGCGUAAAGCGCACGCAGGCGGCUCGAUAAAUUAGAAGUGAAAGCCUUGGGCUUAACCUGAGAAUUGCUUUUAAGACUGUCGAGCUAGAAUCCAGAAGAGGGUAGUGGAAUUCCGAGUGUAGAGGUGAAAUUCGUAGAUAUUCGGAAGAACACCAGUGGCGAAGGCGACUACCUGGUCUGGCAUUGACGCUCAUGUGCGAAAGCGUGGGGAGCAAACAGGAUUAGAUACCCGUGUAGUCCCUGUCUCUUAUAC
rnacentral:rRNA from 1 species